CAAUAGCGUAUAUUAAAGUUGUUGCAGUUAAAAAGCUCGUAGUUGGAUUUCGGAUGGGACUUGCCGGUCCGUCGUUUCGAUGUGCACUGGCCAGUCCUAUCUUGUUGUCGGGGACUAGCUCCUGGGCUUCACUGUCCGGGACUAGGAGCUGACGAGGUUACUUUGAGUAAAUUAGAGUGUUCAAAGCAAGCCUACGCUCUGAAUACAUUAGCAUGGAAUAACACGAUAGGACUCUGGCUUAUCUUGUUGGUCUGUGAGACCAGAGUAAUGAUUAAGAGGGACAGUCGGGGGCAUUCGUAUUUCAUUGUCAGAGGUGAAAUUCUUGGAUUUAUGAAAGACGAACUUCUGCGAAAGCAUUUGUCAAGGAUGUUUUCAUUGA
rnacentral:rRNA from 1 species